UGAGGAAUAUUGGUCAAUGGACGCAAGUCUGAACCAGCCAAGUAGCGUGCAGGAUGACGGCCCUAUGGGUUGUAAACUGCUUUUAUAUGGGGAUAAAGUGGGGAACGUGUUCCCUUUUGCAGGUACCAUAUGAAUAAGGACCGGCUAAUUCCGUGCCAGCAGCCGCGGUAAUACGGAAGGUUCGGGCGUUAUCCGGAUUUAUUGGGCGUAAAGCGCGCGCAGGUGGUUUAGAAAGUCUGAUGUGAAAGCCCACGGCUCAACCGUGGAGGGUCAUUGGAAACUAAUAAACUUGAGUGCAGGAGAGAAAAGUGGAAUUCCUAGUGUAGCGGUGAAAUGCGUAGAGAUUAGGAGGAACACCGGUGGCGAAAGCGGCUUUUUGGCCUGCAACUGACACUGAGGCGCGAAAGCGUGGGGAGCAAACAGG
rnacentral:rRNA from 1 species